rnacentral:rRNA from 1 species
AACGACGCUGGCGGCAGGCCUCAAACAUGCAAGUCUAGGGGGUGUAGCAAUACAUCACCGGCGGACGGGUGCGUAACGCGUGGGAAUAUACCUAUUGGUUCGGAACAACUGAGGGAAACUUCAGCUAAUACCGGAUACGUCCUUACGGAGAAAGAUUUAUCGCCAAUAGAUUAGCCCGCGUUCGAUUAGCUAGUUGGUGGGGUAACGGCCCACCAAGGCGACGAUCGAUAGCUGUUCUGAGAGGAAGAUCAGCCACACUGGGACUGAGACACGGCCCAGACUCCUACGGGAGGCAGCAGUUGGGAAUCUUGGACAAUGGGGGAAACCCUGAUCCAGCCAUGCCGCGUGAGUGAUGAAGGCCUUCGGGUUGUAAAACUCUUUCGCGCACGACGAUAAUGACGGUAGUGCGAGAAGAAGCUCCGGCUAACUUCGUG